rnacentral:misc_RNA from 1 species
CAAAAUUAUUAAAAAAAAAAUUAACUAAUAAUAUGAUAUGCAAAGAAAAUACAGUCCCCUAUAUAAAAUUUAAACCCUUGAGAAAUCAUCAAACAUCCAAAAGCUUUUAGCAUUCAAAUUCAUAGUCAUGACCUACUAAAUUUUCCAUUAAAGUCCUCAACACUUUCAUCCUCAUAUCCAAAAUAAGAUCCCAUUUCCAUCAAAACCUUUAUCUAAAUCAAUCUCAACAUCAUCCAACAUUGGCUUUGAAGUUGAGGCUCUUUGUGCUAAUUUUGCGCCUUGCACUUCAAGCAUAAAAGAUCCCUCACUUCGCUAAAUGCACUUCGCUUACCAUAUGUAAAAGCGCUUUCCUAUUAAUCAUUGUGCUUUUUCGCCUGAGCAAGCACUUUUUGCGCUUUUGACUACACUAAUGCAAACAAUUUUCCUUUUUUUUUUUUUUUUGAUGCUGUCAUAUAUUGUAAAAUUGUGACUUCAUAUUGCAAUAGAGUCUUGCUUCUGCCAUGAAGCUUUCCAUGCCAAAUUCUGGCUCCUAUUCCUUUCCUAGAUGCGAGUGGUGGUUUCGAAAUUCUAACUCUUUCGAGCUAUUUUUUGAGGGCCUUUUGUUAAUGUGGUGGUUAAAAUCAUCCCUCAGGACUGAAUCAAUCCAGCUGCUACCAACCAACAAAAGGCCCGUAGCAUUCUAAUGUCGCACUGCUUACCUUUUGACAAUUACAGGAUUCAUUUUUAACAAGUGAUAACGCACGAGUUAAAGGCAAAAAAGCAUCUGUGAUUUGCUAUCAUCCAUGUAUAAUUGAGUGUUUACAAUAGAUCAUAAAAGGUUUUUCAUCUUGUUGAUCUUAUUUUAUGUACAAUUCGAAUCAAGACAAGUCUAGUAUCGCUAAAACUAAAUUAGGAUUCUUAUAGCACUGCAAACAUUUCAAUGAUGGGUAUCCACCCAAGGUUUUUUUCCUUUUUAGACAGCGCAGCGCGCUUGUUCUUGUUGAUGUUGAUUUAAAUAAAGGGUAGAUUGUCAAUUUACUACAAAAAAUUAAUUGCAUUGAUUGAGCUUUAAGUGAUUCUCUCUCUAGCUGUUAAAGAGAGUCUUCCA